rnacentral:rRNA from 1 species
CCUACGGGUGGCAGCAGUGAGGAAUAUUGGUCAAUGGACGAGAGUCUGAACCAGCCAAGUCGCGUGAAGGAUGACUGCCCUAUGGAUUGUAAACUUCUUUUAUAAGGGAAUAAAACGAGGCACGUGUCCCUUUUUGCCUGUACUUUAUGAAUAAGGCUCGGCUAACUCCGUGCCAGCAGCCGCGGUAAUACGGAGGAGCCGAGCGUUAUCCGGAUUUAUUGGGUUUAAAGGGUGCGUAGAUGGGUUGUUAAGUUAGGUGUGAAAGUUCGCGGCUUAACCAUAAAAGUGCAAUGGAUACUGGCAGGCUUGAGUACAGGUGAGGUAAGCGGAAUGCGUGGUGUAGCGGUGAAAUGCUUAGAUAUCACGAAGAACCCCGAUUGCGAAGGCAGCUUACUAAACUGUGACUGACAUUGAGGCUCGAAAGCGUGGGUAUCAAACAGGAUUAGAUACCCGAGUAGUC